rnacentral:rRNA from 1 species
UAGCCGUAAACGAUACUCGCUAGGUGUCGGCCACGGUGCGACCGUUGUCGGUGCCGUAGGGAAGCCGUGAAGCGAGCCACCUGGGAAGUACGGCCGCAAGGCUGAAACUUAAAGGAAUUGGCGGGGGAGCACAACAACGGGUGGAGCUUGCGGUUUAAUUGGAUUCAACGCCGGAAAUCUUACCGGGACCGACUGCAACAUGAAGGCCAAGCUGAAGACUUUGCCGGAUUAGCUGAGAGGAGGUGCAUGGCGUAGUCGUGU